ACAAAGUCACCCGCUGGGCUGGCUGAAUCGUGCUCUCAAGCGCUCAGCUCGGUGCUACGAUGCUCGGCCUACCGCCGCACGCUUCGCCCGAGCUUGCCGAUACGCCUCGAGCGCUCGGUGCAAAAGUUCCGACGCGACCUCGCCAGCUCGUUUGAGCGGUGAUGGACAGCUGUCAGCGUGGAUCAGACUUGCUGCAGCUGGGUGGAGGGUGCUGCUUGGCCGGCGAACGCGCUUUUGCGACUAGGCACUGCUGCACUCGCCACCAUUCCUGUCCAUGCGGCCCGCCCGAUCUCUGCUUUUCGCUGGUCAGCUUGCUCCGCCCGCUUUCCUCCAAUUCCACCCGCGCUCCACCAUGGCAGUCAGGUUCUUCGCCACCUCGUCGCACCUCCGUGUGCAAAAGAGGGACAUCGUAUGGCGAUCAACCGUUACGUUCAUGGAAGAUAAACCUUUGCUCCUUCUUCCCCUCUCGCCUCCCGUUCCAGCCUCGUCUUCACCCGUCCCGACUCGCCUCUCUCAACUGUCGUCCGCGGCAGGAGGGCUGCCUCGCUUCCGGGCGAGGUAGAGCGCGAGUUGGAUCCCAUGGCGGGGAGGAUCCGAGGUCGGGAGGCAUCCGAGAGGGUCACGGGGCAGGCGUCGUCCCCCGCCGGGAUGGCGCUUCAGGGUCGCACUCAGAGUUGAAGGUCGAUGGGCGCCCUCUCCCUUCGCGGGGAGAGGGACGGCGGGGUCAUCUUGGCCAACCGCAUUUCGUUCUUCUUAGUUUCGUGCGCUACAACCAACCUCUUUGUCC
rnacentral:misc_RNA from 1 species